GACGUAGGGCGCGAGCGUUGUCCGGAUUUAUUGGGCGUAAAGAGCUCGUAGGCGGCUUGUCGCGUCGACUGUGAAAACCCGUGGCUCAACCAUGUGGUCUGCAGUCGAUACGGGCAGGCUAGAAUUCGGUAGGGGAGACUGGAAUUCCUGGUGUAGCGGUGAAAUGCGCAGAUAUCGGGAGGAACACCAGUAGCGAAGGCGGCACUCUGGGCCGGUACUGACGCUGAGGAGCGAAAGCGUGGGGAGCGAACAGG
rnacentral:rRNA from 1 species